ACAGCUCGGAACAGCAAAGGGGUUUGGCUUUUAGAUCCAAGCACGCCGCCGGCUUCAAAGACGUGGGGAGAGCUGUUUGGCGGCGGCGACUCGGGGAGUACGUGAUCGACGGCGGCUGAGCAUCUUCGGGUUCGGGAGUUGGAGAGGAUUAGGGGGAGGCCGCGGCGGCGGCGGCGGCGCGGCGGGGCGCCGGGGGUCUCGGCAUCCGACCUCAGGUCCAAGCUGCCGACGGAGGCUGGUUCGCCGCGAGCACGUUGAGAGCCUGAGGCGCCUGGACGACGGCUACCACAGCGAUGGACGAGGAGGCGAGCCCGAGGCGGUGGGCGGCGGCGGAUCCAGUCAUGCUCCUUCUCGAAUUCCCCGCCGUCGUGCUACCGAGGGCGUCUUCGCCCACAUCUCCUCACGCCGGUGCGCAUGGCGCCUCCUGCCGCUAGUUCCGCCUGCCGGUCGCGACGUGGAAAAAGAACAGAGCAUGUGCUCGCGGCGGAGGAUGCUCCCUCGCUGCCGCGGAACGCUCGCCUCGCCUGCCACCACGGACAAGGCAACAAAAUGGAGCUAUCCUUUCCAUUAGCAUAUUCCAGAAGGAUCUAUUUUGCACAUAAAAGUGAUGGCUUGGGCCUUCGGCACCAUGGCGGCAUCAGUUUGCACGUUGUCGCUCCACUUGUAUUGCUGGUUGCAAAGUAAGGUGCGAACAGUCCAUCGCCGUAUGUUAGGUGGUGAAACUUAAGCACUAUAUAAUGAAAAUUUCUCUAGCGUUGUGGGAGCUGCUGCUGUUGCAUUUAAAUCGGUUUGUCCAAACGAUAGUCCGAGGCUCCAGCGGAUGCAGUCGCAACCCCACCUCUAAGAUCAGCUCACCACCCAACCAGUUACACUCAGUUAUGUGACAGUUUUGAUUCAUUCUACAGAAUUGUUGGAACUCUGGAAUGACCAAAUCUCAAUUCUGCUUCAAAGAAAUUGGGAUUAUAUUAUUUGCUGCAUGGCCAUCAUCUUUUUGGUUCAGUUUUGGUGUGGACCAGUUGGUUAUUGGGUGAACAAAUUUUACAAGUAAGGAGUAACAUUUUUCACUCAACCUUGAUAUGAGAAGUGUUAGUUUCAUGUUUCAUACUACUGCCCUAUUUGGUUGAUUCAGAUAGUUCAGUACCUCUACUUGGUGCAAUUGGACACCAGUACCUUUUUGUGUGUGUUCAAAGCUAGUUAAAACUAUGGAACUUAAAUAUACGAAUCAGUUGAUUAAUCUCUUUCAAACCUUACCUGAGAAAAUUGUGAUUUCUGUUUGGUUUAGCCUGUGAACAAAAUUCAGGUUCCUACAAUUUUAAAUUAAUCUAGUUUCUGCAUGUGAGCUGUAUUGUUUUCAGGUUUUGUACAUGACUUGUAUUAUUGGUCUUGUUAUUUUUUAUGUUGUAAAAGUCUGAGAUUUAGAUUGUUGAUCUGCUUCCUACCGAUCUCUUUGUCACGAAAUGUAUUGGUGGUGUUUAAUCUGUUUUGCACAAUGCACAGAUGUUGGUGUCCGUAGUGCUUACUACAUGAACAUGAUAUUUGGAGUCUUACUUUAGUGGAGUGCCAAUCUGAUCAUGCUUGGAAAAGGGAUAUCAUUGAUAGGUUUUGUUAGCCUGGGGCUUGUCUGAAACUGUUGUAGUCCUGUAAAUACAAAAGUAAAAAGUGUUGAAUGGGAACAGCAGUAGGUGUCAUUGUCAUCUGGAUUUAUCAGUCUGUAGUGUACACCUGGUAAAAGAUGGUCUGAACUCUGAAGCUAGUAGAAACUACUGGUUCCACAUUUCUUUUCUUGAUUCAGAUAAUUCAGUUCGUUCAUUUCGUAACAUUUUGCCGCUAGUACAAACUACUGAACGCAGGCCAUCGCUGCCACGCCCGUGCCGCCCCGCCUCUUCCGACUCUGGCGUCAGGUCGGCGGCAACCGGCGGAGGUCUGACCACGACAGUAACAACGAUGGAAACUGUACAAUCUCAGAAUGCUUGUGGUCAGCUUCACUGGUUUCAAACAAUGGCGGAACGCUUGGCUUCGAUAUUUGGUACAGAGAAAGAUAAGGUCAACUGUCCAUUUUACUUCAAGAUUGGAGCUUUUCUUCAUGGCGAUCACUGCUCUCGCAUCCAUAACAGGCCAACCAUGAACAUGUAUCAGCGCCCUGAUAUGAUUACCCCUGGUCACACGAUCCUUGGAAAUUAAGCAUCUCUCCCGUGGUGCAGCACCAACUCAGGACUGAGGCUUCUGAUUUGGUUGGCUUACUUGCUAUCUGACAUGGUCACAGUCUACGCUCUUGGCCCACUUUCACUGCAUAAAAGUGUCUGGAGAAAUGCACAGGUUUUCGUUUAUCUGGAUGCCUUUCCUUCUCAUUCAUCUUGGUGGGCAAGAUACUACCAUCACUACUUUCUCCAUUGAGGACAAUGAGUUAUGGCUGAGGCACAUGCUCAAUCUACUGACCUAAAUUGGCUUGGCCUUGUACGUGUUUUGGAAGUUAUCAGCACACAGCCAGUUUCUGAUCCCAGCCAUGUUUGUCUUCAUGGCUGGAAUCGUCAAGUAUGUGGAGCGGACAUAGGCUCUGAAGUGCGCAAGCCGAAAUGCCCUCAGGGGUGAUGAUUCUACUUAAUGUGAAAACAAGUCAGUUUCCAGCUGGAAUUGGACUAUGUGACAGUUGUGAAUUAUGCUUUAUCUAGCGCACCAGGUGUCAGAAAUCUAUUUGUUGGUCGCAAGCUUGCUAAAAUGGAAGGUAACAUACAGAGAGCAUUUUACUGCUGGUACUGUUUUUCAAAUACCAGCAGACAGUGGCGGAGCCAGCCUGUUCCAGGAGCCGGGUCAAGGUCUAUGGACGGUGAUGUUGCCUAGCAUUUGCCUCAGCAAUUAGCAGUACUACCCAUGGUCUUAUAGUAUUGUUUAAUGGAGACUAGCCGGAGCAGCCCGGCAGCCGCUCCGGGUCGCCGGGAGCUAGCUCCGCCCCUGCCAGCAGAUGGGCAGCAUAUAUUCAAAAUUCUGGAGAUUGAGCUAGGGAUGAUGUAUGACAAUCUGUACACCAAGGCAACUAGGAAAGGGUGGUUCGAACAUGGCUUAGGGCUGUACUCCAAUGUCUCACUCACAUUUCACUGGUAGUUGCUUUUGUGCUCUUCCUUGUGGGUGGCAAGCAAGGUUUUACAGUGGAGUUAUUGUUGCAAUAACCUAUGCAUUGUUCAUCGGAGCGUUCUGCAUUGAAGUUUGUGCUGACUUCUUGAUGGUGAUGAUGUCUCCAUGUACAUGGGCAUUCUUGGAAUCCUGUAAGUGCCGGAGAGUUGCCCGUGUGGCUUGGUCUGUUUUCAUGAGCCUACAGCCAGAGUCAAGGCUGUGGUCGUCAAAUUCCAUGGGGCAAUACAGUUUUCUCAAUUCCUGUUUCUCUGAGUCUAUCAUGGGGAAAAUGAUGAAUCUGGUAGGAGCCAAGGAGAUCUGGUGCAACUUCUGGCAUACCAAGAACGUUCAGAUCACGGCAGAGAUCAAGAAUGUCAUCUUUGAAACUAAGCAUCAUCCUGGGUCACUUAGCGGUGGUACAAGCCCGCCUUGGUCCAGCAUUGGACACAAUACACAGAAACCCUUUGAGGAGGCUAUCCUAUUCCUACAUGUCUACACAGACAUAUUCCUGCACCGGUACAAGAAUCCCUCGGGGACUAGCCGCAACAUCAUGGAGAAGAAGCAUCAGCUUAUGGAUACAUGCAGGGGGAAUAUCUGAAUACAUGAUUUACCAUGGACAUCAGCAACAUAGGCGAUGUACUGAAGGAAGCUUCGGAGAGCGUGGCCAACGCUAGUGCUAUUGGUUGCACAAAGAUAACUACCACGGUGCAUUCUAUCAAUUUUCAAGAAGCUGUUCAGAGAAGAUAUAUCCUUAAAGGCCCAUACCAACUCUGUCACCGUUAUUUUCUGGCAGGGGAAAUGCCAAUUGAAAAACGCUUCGUCAGCCUUAGUUGACACUGUUGGUGCAAUCGGAUUAAAUAUAGUUUUUAAAAGGAUGGCACAUAUUUGCUUUGUCUGUUAUUUGUUUAAAAAGAAGGGGAGAAUUGUGAGGGCUGGAAGUUCUGCUAGAGGAUGUACAAAUGAAAUAGAUUUGACUUCUUUGAAAGUCAUGUGGGCGGUAUAGCAAGUUUUUAUAAUCGGGCUCAAGAGAAAUGCAACUAGUUUGUUAAACUCAGAACAUCAAUCCUCAGUUUGUUUACGCGACCUAAUCAGAUCAAAGUCCUUGGAGUCCCACAAAGCCACAAUAAGUCAUAAACAUACGAAGAAAAGUACUACCAUGGCGGCUGAGAUAAAUAACAGCAGAUCACUGAUUCAUGGAAAAGCGGCGUUCAGGCAGGGUAGUCAGCUUGGUGCGAUGGGUUCAGCCACCACCCACGUUAGUUUUUUACGGUGAGAAGUGAACUCUUUAAGUUCACAAAUUCCCGGCAGUAAGGUGGACAUGUGAGAAAAAUGGUUUGGCUUUCGUUGAUUCCAUUUCUAUCCGUGCUUCCAUUUAGGAUACCUAUGGCUUGGUCUGACCAAUAGUACUCUUAACUUCUUAUUUCUAGUCACUUCAAAUUUUCUAAAGGAAUUACAAUGUACUUUAAUCUGUUCCAGUUUUGAUUUUACAGAUGGAGAACUAAAAAGGGAGACUUAAUUGGCCUAUAUAGCGUAGCAUGAAAAACUCUGGUCCAAUAUGAUCUUCCAUGUUAAGCGCUAGAUCAAGACAUUAUGAGGAUAAUUGAAAAUACGUGCACUAGAGAUAGCAUUUAAGCAAACU